rnacentral:sRNA from 1 species
GGUGAGCUGGCGGCGGGGGAGGCGGGCAGCGGAGCCAAGCUGACCCGGCGAGCGGAGCCGGGGCUGGAGAGCGGCGACCACUGCGGAUCUCGGAAGGAAGAAAUGAUGUAAAUCACUCAUCCAAACUUUAAGGUCAAAGGUGAGAAGGAAGGUCAGGAAGAACAUGGCCUGGCCAAAUGUUUUUCAGAGAGGGUCUCUGCUGUCCCAGUUCAGCCAUCAUCAUGUUGUAGUGUUCCUGCUCACUUUCUUCAGUUAUUCGUUGCUCCAUGCUUCACGAAAAACAUUUAGCAAUGUCAAAGUCAGUAUCUCUGAGCAGUGGACCCCAAGUGCUUUUAACACAUCAGUUGAGCUGCCUGUGGAGAUCUGGAGCAGCAACCAUUUGUUCCCCAGUGCAGAGAAAGCGACUCUUUUCCUCGGAACACUGGAUACCAUUUUCCUCUUCUCCUAUGCUGUGGGCCUAUUCAUCAGUGGCAUCGUUGGGGAUCGGUUGAAUUUGCGAUGGGUUCUGUCUUUUGGCAUGUGCUCUUCUGCAUUAGUGACGAGGAGUUGUUUUUGGUCUCUGGAGUGCCUGUGCUUCGGUGGGCAACAUUUUGGGAGCGUGCCUAGCUUCUUCUGUUCUUCAGUAUGGUUAUGAGUAUGCCUUUCUGGUGACGGCGUCUGUGCAGUUUGCUGGUGGGAUCGUUAUCUUCUUUGGACUCCUGGUGUCACCAGAAGAAAUUGGAAAACUCUGAGCUCCUUUUAGUGAGUGAAAGGAGAACUGUACUGCCGUUUGAGUCCUGUCAACAUUGUAGCCAGCCCCUGGCACAGCUGGACGUGUUUGAGGGGAGUGAUGCACGUCUUUUAUAGAUACAGGAAAAUCUUCGCAUUUGCAAAUUACUUUUAUAAUUGAGACACUGGCAAGGAAUGAACAUAGAUGUAUUUCUAAUUUCACUUCUUGAAACAUUUCUUUUCAUCCAUAAAAAUGAUGCACAAAAAUGAUACUUAACCUGUAGUUAAAUACAGAUUACAUACAAAUGAAACCACAGAAGCAAACAGAUGUACAAUUCUUCUAUCUUUUGAGUAUUUUUAGAUAGACUGUGUGACUUUAAUUGACCUUAGUUGACCUCGGUCUCUGGACCUUCGUUGCUGCUUCUGUAAAAUGGAAAUAAAAAUAACAUCACCUCAUAAGUAGGGAUGUAUGCAGAGCCCUUCACACGUGGUAGGCACUCCAUAAACAGUGGCUGUCGCUGUUAUUUUAGGUCUCUCGGGUAUUGAGGCAGAAGAAAACUUUGAAGAAGACUCACACAGGCCAUUAAUUAAUGGUGGUGAAAAUGAAGACGAAUAUGAGCCGAAUUAUUCAAUCCAAGAUGAUAGUUCUGUUGCCCAAGUCAAGGCGAUAAGCUUCUACCAGGCGUGUUGCCUUCCUGGAGUCAUACCGUACUCACUGGCCUACGCCUGCUUGAAGUUAGUGAAUUACUCCUUCUUCUUCUGGCUCCCCUUUUAUCUGAGUAACAACUUCGGCUGGAAGGAGGCGGAAGCCGACAAGCUGUCCAUUUGGUACGACGUUGGAGGGAUCAUAGGUGGAACUUUGCAAGGCUUCAUCUCCGAUGUACUACAGAAGAGAGCGCCGGUUCUUGCCCUGAGUCUGCUUCUGGCAGUUGGGUCCCUCAUCGGGUAUAGUCGUUCUCCAAAUGAUAAGUCCAUCAAUGCCCUUCUGAUGACUGUUACAGGAUUUUUUAUUGGUGGACCUUCUAAUAUGAUUAGUUCUGCUAUUUCUGCGGACUUGGGUCGCCAGGAGCUCAUCCAAAGGAGCAGUGAAGCUUUGGCCACUGUCACAGGAAUUGUGGAUGGUUCGGGGAGCAUUGGAGCUGCAGUGGGCCAGUAUUUAGUGUCUCUGAUCCGGGACAAGCUAGGAUGGAUGUGGGUUUUCUACUUUUUCAUUCUCAUGACAAGUUGUACAAUUGUGUUUAUCUCGCCAUUAAUAGUGAGGGAAAUAUUCUCUCUCGUGCUAAGGAGACAGGCUCACAUAUUGAGGGAGUGACUGGUGCCCGUGAGACAGAAAGAACAAUGUCAGCCACAUCAGGACCGCUGGGGCUUCGAGUCUGCCCUAAUUUGGGUUUGUCUAGGAGCUC